rnacentral:rRNA from 1 species
CCCUUAUUCCCGGCAGGCCUAACACAUGCAAGUCGAGCGGUAGCACAGAGAGCUUGCUCUCGGGUGACGAGCGGCGGACGGGUGAGUAAUGUCUGGGAAACUGCCUGAUGGAGGGGGAUAACUACUGGAAACGGUAGCUAAUACCGCAUAAUGUCGCAAGACCAAAGAGGGGGACCUUCGGGCCUCUUGCCAUCAGAUGUGCCCAGAUGGGAUUAGCUAGUAGGUGGGGUAACGGCUCACCUAGGCGACGAUCCCUAGCUGGUCUGAGAGGAUGACCAGCCACACUGGAACUGAGACACGGUCCAGACUCCUACGGGAGGCAGCAGUGGGGAAUAUUGCACAAUGGGCGCAAGCCUGAUGCAGCCAUGCCGCGUGUAUGAAGAAGGCCUUCGGGUUGUAAAGUACUUUCAGCGGGGAGGAAGGUGUUGAGGUUAAUAACCUCAGCAAUUGACGUUACCCGCAGAAGAAGCACCGGCUAACUCCGUGCCAGCAGCCGCGGUAAUACGGAGGGUGCAAGCGUUAAUCGGAAUUACUGGGCGUAAAGCGCACGCAGGCGGUCUGUCAAGUCGGAUGUGAAAUCCCCGGGCUCAACCUGGGAACUGCAUUCGAAACUGGCAGGCUAGAGUCUUGUAGAGGGGGGUAGAAUUCCAGGUGUAGCGGUGAAAUGCGUAGAGAUCUGGAGGAAUACCGGUGGCGAAGGCGGCCCCCUGGACAAAGACUGACGCUCAGGUGCGAAAGCGUGGGGAGCAAACAGGAUUAGAUACCCUGGUAGUCCACGCCGUAAACGAUGUCGACUUGGAGGUUGUGCCCUUGAGGCGUGGCUUCCGGAGCUAACGCGUUAAGUCGACCGCCUGGGGAGUACGGCCGCAAGGUUAAAACUCAAAUGAAUUGACGGGGGCCCGCACAAGCGGUGGAGCAUGUGGUUUAAUUCGAUGCAACGCGAAGAACCUUACCUACUCUUGACAUCCAGAGAACUUUCCAGAGAUGGAUUGGUGCCUUCGGGAACUCUGAGACAGGUGCUGCAUGGCUGUCGUCAGCUCGUGUUGUGAAAUGUUGGGUUAAGUCCCGCAACGAGCGCAACCCUUAUCCUUUGUUGCCAGCGGUCCGGCCGGGAACUCAAAGGAGACUGCCAGUGAUAAACUGGAGGAAGGUGGGGAUGACGUCAAGUCAUCAUGGCCCUUACGAGUAGGGCUACACACGUGCUACAAUGGCGCAUACAAAGAGAAGCGACCUCGCGAGAGCAAGCGGACCUCAUAAAGUGCGUCGUAGUCCGGAUUGGAGUCUGCAACUCGACUCCAUGAAGUCGGAAUCGCUAGUAAUCGUAGAUCAGAAUGCUACGGUGAAUACGUUCCCGGGCCUUGUACACACCGCCCGUCACACCAUGGGAGUGGGUUGCAAAAGAAGUAGGUAGCUUAACCUUCGGGAGGGCGCUACCCACCUUUUAUUUCAAGGGC